GGGGCCGUAGCUCAGCGGUUAGAGCAGGCGACUCAUAAUCGCUUGGUCGCGGGUUCGAAUCCUGCCGGCCCUA
rnacentral:tRNA from 1 species